AUUACUUUGGCAGAAUAGUGUUUUAAAUUUAGAAUUUAAUUAAGUAUAUUUUUUAUAUACAAGUAAUA
rnacentral:tRNA from 1 species